rnacentral:lncRNA from 1 species
AAAGUAAAUGCAACAAUAUGAGUGGAAAAGAUCCACAACUACACACAGUAUCUGCUUGUUAUUAUUUGUCAGUUAUGUUCACGUGUGAAGAAAAGCAUCAGUUAUCCCCUCAGUACUGCAAUAAACAGUUACAAAGGAAACUGUGACCUCAAAUGACAUAUGAAGAAAUAAAUAAUACUAAAAAUUGUCUGAAGAGACCAUGGAAAAUGAACUAAUUCAUAACCGAAUAUUGAAUCUACUUCAACUUGCAAGUGAAGCAAAAUUCCACAGGCUGAUUUUUCUUCAGUAGAUCUUAGGGGUUCUUAAGAGAUCUGAUAGAAAUACACACACCCUACAGGCUACUUU